UACGAAGGGGGCUAGCGUUGCUCGGAAUCACUGGGCGUAAAGGGUGCGUAGGCGGGUUUCUAAGUCAGUGGUGAAAGCCUGGAGCUCAACUCCAGAACUGCCUUUGAUACUGGAAGUCUUGAGUUCGGGAGAGGUGAGUGGAACUGCGAGUGUAGAGGUGAAAUUCGUAGAUAUUCGCAAGAACACCAGUGGCGAAGGCGGCUCACUGGCCCGAUACUGACGCUGAGGCACGAAAGCGUGGGGAGCAAACAGG
rnacentral:rRNA from 1 species